rnacentral:rRNA from 1 species
AACGCGAAGAACCUUACCAACCUUUGACAUGUCCGGUAUGGGUCUAGGAGACUAGGUCCUUCAGUUCGGCUGGCUGGAACACAGGUGCUGCAUGGCUGUCGUCAGCUCGUGUCGUGAGAUGUUGGGUUAAGUCCCGCAACGAGCGCAACCCUCAUCUUCAGUUGCCAUCAGGUAAGGCUGGGCACUCUGGAGAAACCGCCGGUGAUAAGCCGGAGGAAGGCGGGGAUGACGUCAAGUCCUCAUGGCCCUUACAGGUUGGGCUACACACGUACUACAAUGGUGGUGACAGUGGGUUGCGAAGGCGCGAGCCGGAGCCAAUCCCCAAAAGCCAUCUCAGUUCGGAUUGCACCCUGCAACUCGGGUGCAUGAAGUUGGAAUCGCUAGUAAUCGCAGAUCAGCACGCUGCGGUGAAUACGUUCCCGGGCCUUGUA